GGCGAUUUCCUCGGUGCUCAGGUAGCUGCCAUACAUGAAUGUGCUCCUGACCACAUCCACCAAGCGCCGUGCGAUGCCCCUCCUGCGCGCGGGGCCGAACACCCAGAUCCUGCUGACACCACACACUGCAGGCUCCGGCUCUGUGGAGCAGCGCCAUGCCCUGUGCUGCUGCAGGGCAUCCUGCUCGGGGCUGUGCACUGUGCUGGGCUCAGACAGCACCCGGAAGGCCUGUUUGAUAGAUUCAGCCACCAGGCAC
rnacentral:lncRNA from 1 species